GAUAAAUAAAAUAUUACAAAUAUUGAGGAAUGACCGUUUCCCAUUAAAACAUGAUUGAAUUGGCACGUCUUCUACAAAGCCCUCUUGUGUAAGGUUUAAUGAUUAUGUAUAAUUGUGCAAGAACAGCCCUAUUUUGCAAGAUGGUGAUGUGCUCAUAUGCACUGAUAUAAAUAAAGAAAGAAAGAAAGAGUGGUUUUAUACACACAAGGAUAAAGGCCGUUACCCAUAGAAAUCCUCUGUCCUUUAAUUCAGGCAUGAUUGACCCUUAAUAAAAAAUUAGAGUAGUUUCAUUGAGUUGUGGUAUGUUGGCUAUUUUGCCUAUCCUAUUGCCAUGUGUGUUAUGUUGUGUUUGAAUUAAAACAGCACGCAAUACAAAAUAACUUGUUUACAGCAUACCUUUUUAAGCAAAAGAAAAAAAUUUAAUGCCACUUGUGUAAAUGAAAGUGGUAGAAUGUACAGUUUAAAAACUGCACUGGAGAGGAG